rnacentral:rRNA from 1 species
GACGAACGCUGGCGGCGCGCUUAACACAUGCAAGUCGAGCGAGAACCAGACCUUCGGGUCUGGGGACAGCGGCGAACGGGUGAGUAACACGUGGGUAAUCAACCCUCGGUACUGGGAUAGCCCGGGGAAACCCGGAUUAAUACCGGAUGGCCCUUCGGAGCUUCGGUUCUGAAGGAAAAGGUAGCUUCGGCCUCCGACCGAGGACGAGCCCGCGGCGGAUUAGCUUGUUGGUGGGGUAACGGCCUACCAAGGCGACGAUCCGUAGCUGGUCUGAGAGGACGCUCAGCCACACUGGGACUGAGACACGGCCCAGACUCCUACGGGAGGCCGCAGUGGGGAAUCUUGCGAUAAUGCGGGAAACCGUGACGCAGCGACGCCGCGUGGGGGAAGAAGGCCUUCGGGUUGUAAACCUCUUUCAGGAGGGACGAAGCUACUCGGGUUAAUAGCCCAGAGGGUGACGGUACCUCCAGAAGAAGCCCCGGCUAACUACGUGCCAGCCGCCGCCGUAAGAC